rnacentral:rRNA from 1 species
AACGAACGCUGGCGGCAUGCCUAACACAUGCAAGUCGAACGAGACCUUCGGGUCUAGUGGCGCCCGGGUGCGUAACGCGUGGGAACCUGCCCUUAGGUUCGGCAUAACUCCCCGAAAGGGGUGCUAAUACCGGAUAAUGUCUUCGGACCAAAGAUUUAUCGCCUUUGGAUGGGCCCGCGUUGGAUUAGCUAGUUGGUAGGGUAAAAGCCUACUAAGGCGACGAUCCAUAGCUGGUCUGAGAGGAUGAUCAGCCACACUGGGAUUGGGACACGGCCCAGACUCCUACGGGAGGCAGCAGUGGGUAAUAUUGGACAAUGGGCGAAAGCCUGAACCAGCAAUGCCGCGUGAGUGAUGAAGGCCUUAGGGUUGUAAAGCCCUUUUACCCGUGAUGAUAAUGACAGUACCUAGAGAAUAAGCUCCGGCUAACUCCGUG